CCUACGGGUGGCAGCAGUCGAGAAUCAUUCACAAUGGGGGAAACCCUGAUGGUGCGACGCCGCGUGGGGGAAUGAAGGUCUUCGGAUUGUAAACCCCUGUCAUGUGGGAGCAAAUUAAAAAGAUAGUACCACAAGAGGAAGAGACGGCUAACUCUGUGCCAGCAGCCGCGGUAAUACAGAGGUCUCAAGCGUUGUUCGGAAUCACUGGGCGUAAAGCGUUCGUAGGCUGUUUCGUAAGUCGUGUGUGAAAGGCGCGGGCUCAACCCGCGGACGGCACAUGAUACUGCGAGACUAGAGUAAGGGAGGGGGAACCGGAAUUCUCGGUGUAGCAGUGAAAUGCGUAGAUAUCGAGAGGAACACUCGUGGCGAAGGCGGGUUCCUGGACAUUAACUGACGCUGAGGCACGAAGGCCAGGGGAGCGAAAGGGAUUAGAUACCCUUGUAGUC
rnacentral:rRNA from 1 species